UGUUAGCAAGGGCCGGGCAAGACCGGUGCCAGCCGCCGCGGUAAUACCGGCGGCUCGAGUGGUGGCCGAUAUUAUUGAGUCUAAAGGGUCCGUAGCCGGCUUUGCAAGUCUCUCGGGAAAUCCAGCGGCUUAACCGUUGGGCGUCUGGGGGCUACUACAUUGCUUGGGACUGGGAGAGGCGAGAGGUACUCAGGGGGUAGGAGUGAAAUCCUGUAAUCCUUUGGGGACCACCGGUGGCGAAGGCGUCUCGCCAGAACAGGUCCGACGGUGAGGGACGAAAGCUAGGGGCACGAACCGGAUUAGAUACCCGGGUAGUCCUAGCCGUAAACGAUGCUCGCUAGGUGUCACAACAGUCGUGAACUGUUGUGGUGCCGUAGGGAAGCCGUGAAGCGAGCCACUUGGGAAGUACGACCGCAAGGUUGAAACUUAAAGGAAUUGGCGGGGGAGCACCACAACGGGUGGAGCCUGCGGUUUAAUUGGACUCAACGCCGGGAAGCUUACCGGGAUCGACAGUUGUAUGAAGGCCAGGCUGAAGACCUUGCCGGACUAUCUGAGAGGAGGUGCAUGGCC
rnacentral:rRNA from 1 species